rnacentral:lncRNA from 10 species
AAAAAUGAUCAAAGCCCAACAAAGAGAUCAAAAGAGAGUCAGAAAGAGACCACCAGACAGUGCGUGAGAGAGAUGGGAAGCAGAGACGAGGGAGACUACAAUAACAGAGCCCUCUCUACAACUGCCUGCCUCCUUCCUCCACAGGGCCCCUGGGAAAUCCUUCAAAGGCAAGUGCAGCUGUUGCCAGCUCUGGGUUCUGUGGGGCCCAUAGGAUGACGUGGCCUGAGGCUUCAUCACUGGAGCCUGGGGCUUCAGCUUUCCAGAAAGUAAGUUUUGUGAUCGAAGGGACGGCUUUGUUUUCUACAUGUCCUAGCACUUAGGAGGGGUGCCUUGAGCACAGCAGGUGCACAAUCAAUAAUUGUUGAAUGAA